UCGACUGUGCUAACGGUGGCUCUAGUAAUAAAAGGAAAAAAAAGUCCAAAAGUUGUAGUGCUUAAAGUAUGAAUACCUCACCUCGAUGGUUUUAUAGAUAACUCCUUUAUACAGCUUCGUGUCUUAUAUAAGGUAUACGUCACCUGAUUGUCUUGCUGUGUUGUGUAUUUUUCUCCUCAUAUUCACCUUUGGAAAGAAAGAGAAAUUUAAGAACUCCUGCCAUUGUAAUACUACUUCCACCUUGGUAUCUCUCU
rnacentral:rRNA from 1 species